rnacentral:misc_RNA from 1 species
GUGAAUCAUCGAAUCUUUGAACGCACAUUGCGCCCGCCAGCACUCUGGCGGGCAUGCCUGUUCGAGCGUCAUUUCAACCCCUCAAGCCCUGGGCUUGGUGUUGGGGAUCGACCACAACCCCCCCUAGGGGGGCGGUCGGCCCUGAAAUACAGUGGCGGACCCGCCGCGGCCCCCUCUGCGUAGUAGCACACCUCGCACUGGAGAGCGGCGCGGCCCACGCCCGCAACCACCAUACUUUUACAGGUUGACCUCGAAUCAGGUAGGAAUACCCGCUGAACUUAAGCAUAUCAAUAAGCGGAGGA